rnacentral:rRNA from 1 species
AACGUAGGAGACAAACGUUAUCCGGAGUUACUGGGCGUAAAGGGCGUGUAGGCGGUCUGUUAAGUCUGGCGUGAAAGCUCUCGGCUAAACCGGGAGAGGUCGUUGGAUACUGGCAGACUAGAGGACGGUAGAGGCGUGUGGAAUUCCGGGGUGUGAGUGGUGAAAUGCGUAGAGAUCCGGAGGAACACCAGUGGCGAAGGCGGCGAUCCUGGCCCGUGUCCUGACGCUGAGGCGCGAGAGCGUGGGGAGCAAACGGG